AUUGAACGCUGGCGGCGUGCUUAACACAUGCAAGUCGAACGGUGACCCUCGGAGCUUGCUUCGGGGUGAACAGUGGCGAACGGGUGAGUAACACGUGAGUAACCUGCCCCUGACUCUGGAAUAAGCGCUGGAAACGGCGUCUAAUACCGGAUAUGACACGAACGGGCAUCCGUAUCGUGUGGAAAGUUUUUCGGUCUGGGAUGGACUCGCGGCCUAUCAGCUUGUUGGUGAGGUAAUGGCUCACCAAGGCGAUGACGGGUAGCCGGCCUGAGAGGGCGACCGGCCACACUGGGACUGAGACACGGCCCAGACUCCUACGGGAGGCAGCAGUGGGGAAUAUUGCACAAUGGGCGAAAGCCUGAUGCAGCGACGCCGCGUGAGGGAUGACGGCCUUCGGGUUGUAAACCUCUUUCAGCAGGGAAGAAGCGAAAGUGACGGUACCUGCAGAAGAAGCACCGGCUAACUACGUGCCAGCCGCCGCCGUAAUAC
rnacentral:rRNA from 1 species